CCCCUGUACCCAGCUGUGUGUCCAUGAAAAGUGACUGGUCUAUGGUACGUCCUUACAACUUCCAAGAGGGAGACUUUUCUACUGAACAAAGAGACCAACAGGAGAGAUCAGAGUCUGAGCUUCUCAGUGGUCAAUCUGUCCAGAGUCAUCAAACAGACCUGUCCUCCAGAUACAGUGUAUGUGGUCCUGUUAUGUACACUUGUUACUGUUUACCACGAGUAAAGAUCAUCUGUGAGUCA